rnacentral:rRNA from 1 species
UACGAAGGGGACUAGCGUUGUUCGGAAUUACUGGGCGUAAAGCGCACGUAGGCGGAUUCGUAAGUCAGGGGUGAAAUCCCGGGGCUCAACCUCGGAACUGCCUUUGAUACUGCGGAUCUCGAGUCCGAUAGAGGUGGGUGGAAUUCCUAGUGUAGAGGUGAAAUUCGUAGAUAUUAGGAAGAACACCGGUGGCGAAGGCGGCCCACUGGAUCGGUACUGACGCUGAGGUGCGAAAGCGUGGGGAGCGAACAGG